rnacentral:rRNA from 1 species
UGGGGAAUAUUGCACAAUGGGCGCAAGCCUGAUGCAGCAACGCCGCGUGAACGAUGAAGGUCUUCGGAUCGUAAAGUUCUGUUGCAGGGGAAGAUAAUGACGGUACCCUGUGAGGAAGCCCCGGCUAACUACGUGCCAGCAGCCGCGGUAAUACGUAGGGGGCUAGCGUUAUCCGGAUUUACUGGGCGUAAAGGGUGCGUAGGUGGUCUUUCAAGUCGGUGGUUAAAGGCUACGGCUCAACCGUAGUUAGCCUCCGAAACUGGAAUACUUGAGUGCAGGAGAGGAAAGUGGAAUUCCCAGUGUAGCGGUGAAAUGCGUAGAUAUUGGGAGGAACACCAGUAGCGAAGGCGGCUUUCUGGACUGCAACUGACACUGAGGCACGAAAGCGUGGGUAGCAAACAGG